UUCCGGUUGAUCCCGCCGGAAGCUACUGCUAUUGGGAUUCGACUAAGCCAUGCGAGUCAAGGUGUCUUCGGACGCCGGCAUACGGCUCAGUAACACGUAGGUAACCUACCCUCAGGACUGAGAUAACCCCGGGAAACUGGGGCUAAUAUUAGAUAGAUAAAAGAUACUGGAAUGUUCUUUUAUCCAAAGCUUUUGCGCCUGAGGAUGGGCCUGCGCCCGAUUAGGUUGUUGGUGGGGUAAUGGCCCACCAAGCCUACGAUCGGUACGGGCAGUGGGAGCUGAAGCCCGGAGUUGGGGACUGAGACAAGGCCCCAGGCCCUACGGGGCGCAGCAGGCGCGAGACCUCUGCAAUGCGGGAAACCGUGACAGGGGGAUCCCAAGUGCUCAUGCAUUGCAUGGGCUGUUCUUUGGUCUAAGUAACCAGAGGAGUAAGGGCUGGGCAAGACCGGUGCCAGCCGCCGCGGUAAUACCGGCAGCUCAAGUGGUAGCCGCGAUUAUUGGGCCUAAAACGUUCGUAGCCGGAUAAGUAAGUCUUUGGUUAAAUCCUGCGACUUAACCGUGGGAAAUCUAGAGAUACUGCUUGUCUUGAGGCCGGGAGAGGUUGGAGGUACUCCCAGGGUAGGGGUGAAAUCCUGUAAUCCUGGGGGGACCACCUGUGGCGAAGGCGUCCAACUGGAACGGGUCUGACGGUGAGGGACGAAACCUAGGGGAGCGAGCCGGAUUAGAUACCCGGGUAGUCCUAGGCGUAAAUGAUGCGAGUUAAGUGUGGGGGCAUCCACGAGAUGGCCCUGUGCUGUAGGGUAGCCGUUAAACUCGCUGCCUGGGGAGUACGGUCGCAAGGCUGAAACUUAAAGGAAUUGGCGGGGGAGCACCACAAGAGGUGGAGGCUGCGGUUCAAUUGGAUUCAACGCCGGG
rnacentral:rRNA from 1 species